UACGUAGGGGGCAAGCGUUGUCCGGAUUUAUUGGGCGUAAAGAGCGUGUAGGCGGCCUGGAAGGUCAGCUGUGAAAACUCGAGGCUCAACCUCGAGACGUCGGUUGAAACCACCUGGCUAGAGUCCGGAAGAGGAGAGUGGAAUUCCCGGUGUAGCGGUGAAAUGCGCAGAUAUCGGGAAGAACACCCGUGGCGAGGGCGGCUCUCUGGGACGGUACUGACGCUGAGACGCGAAAGCGUGGGGAGCAAACAGG
rnacentral:rRNA from 1 species